rnacentral:rRNA from 1 species
GACGAACGCUGGCGGCGUGGAUUAGGCAUGCAAGUCGAACGGUAUGGACCUUUCGGGGUUCAGAGAGUGGCGAACGGGUGAGUAACACGUAGGUAAUCUACCCUCAAGACGGGGACAACCCAGGGAAACUUGGGCUAAUACCGGAUGUGUGUAGUGGCUAUUUUUCUGAUUAUCAUUAUUUACGUAAGUGAGUAAUAAUAAGAAGGGAAAGUGGUUAUUACAUAAAAGGUGGCGUAAGCUGCCGCUUGGGGAUGAGCCUGCGUCCUAUUAGUUAGUUGGUGAGGUAACGGCUUACCAAGGCGAUGAUAGGUAGGCGGCCUUAACGGGUGGUCGCCCACACUGGGAUUGAGAUACGGCCCAGACUCCUACGGGAGGCAGCAGUCGAGAAUAGUCUACAAUGGACGGAAGUCUGAUAGUGCGACGCCGCGUGAACGAAGAAUCCCUUGGGGUGUAAAGUUCUUUUAUACGUGAGCAGUGUCCUUUAUAUUAAUAGUAUAAGGGGAGAGAUAUUAGCGUAUGAAUAAGCAACGGA